rnacentral:rRNA from 1 species
GUACCGUGAGGGAAAGGCGAAAAGAACCCCUGUGAGGGGAGUGAAAUAGAUCCUGAAACCGCAUGCAUACAAGCAGUGGGAGCCGACUUGUUCGGUGACUGCGUACCUUUUGUAUAAUGGGUCAGCGACUUACAUUCAGUAGCAAGGUUAACCGCAUAGGGGAGCCGUAGAGAAAUCGAGUCUUAAUAGGGCGAAUAGUUGCUGGGUGUAGACCCGAAACCAGGCGAUCUAUCC